AGAAGCAUUCCCAACCAAACAAGAAACAGCCACCGUCGUGGUCAAGAAAAUCCUAGAAGAAAUCUUUCCACGUUUCGGGGUACCCAAGGUAAUUGGGUCCGACAAUGGGCCCGCCUUCGUUGCCAAGGUUAAAAGGACUCCAAGCCAUACAGAAAGAAGUUUGGACACAGCUGGCAGCUGCUUAUGAGCCUGGGACCCCCAAAGUUUCUCACCAGUUCCAGGUUGGGGACACUGUAUGGUGACACCGCUCCCAAUCUCUGGAACCCUGUUGGAAGGGACCUUGCCUGAUGCUCCUGACGACACCAAUGGCUGUGAAGGUAGACGGGAUCUCCGCUUAGAGCCUGUACCACCAGAAGACCAAGGAUCAAAGGACGCUGCCUGGAAAGUCCGGGGUUCCAAGGAGCACCCCUUAAGACUGAAAAUUGUUCGGACGUUCUAAGUGUUGUAAGAUGAAAACUCUCUUGCUUUUCUUAUGCCUAAAGAUCUUUUCCCGGGGCCCAGGAGCUAGCAGUCCACAUACCCCUUCCUCACACAGCCAGCUGUGCAACCGGACUCUUAACGUGAACAAGUGGUCUGGUGACACAUAUCUGUUGCCCCCUCCAGAAAGAUGGUGGGCCUGCGCUACUGGGGUCACACCCUGUGUUAGCUUACAGGUCCUAAACGAGACCCAAGAUUUCUGUGUCUUGGUUCGGUCGUUGCCUCGGCUUGUUUACCAUCCCUAUGAAGAACUAUUAUCAUACUGGGAUAAAAAAUAACGGGGACUACUGAACCAGAAGGGAGCCCCUAGGUACCAUGCUCUCUGUCCUCUUAGGCUUAAGAUUGGGAACAGCUGGGGCAGCUACAAGAGCUUCAGCUCUGGCUAUUCAAUAUCAGGAAUUAAACCAACAGAAAACAGUAUUUCAUGAUUGAAAUACGCACACACACA